GACAGAGGAUGCAAGCGUUGUCCGGAAUCAUUGGGCGUAAAGAGCGUGUAGGCGGCCACUUAAGUCCUGCGUGAAAUCUUGCGGCUCAACCGCAAGCGGUCGUGGGAAACUGGGUGGCUAGAGUGCGGGAGAGGAGAGUGGAAUUCCUGGUGUAGCGGUGGAAUGCGCAGAUAUCAGGAAGAACACCCGUGGCGAAGGCGGCUCUCUGGAACGCAACUGACGCUGAGACGCGAAAGCGUGGGGAGCAAACAGG
rnacentral:rRNA from 1 species